GAAGAGGAAGAGGAAGAAGAGGAAGAAGAAGAAGAGGAGGAACAAGAGGAAGAAGAGGAAGAAGAAGAAGAGGAGGAACAAGAAGAAGAGGAGGAAGAAGAAGAAGAGGAGGAAGAAGAGGCUCUGAGUGACAGAUCUGGGUCACAGACGCAUGAGGAACAAUCAGAGCUGAGAGGUUGUGUUGUUGUGAAAGUCACAAGUACUAUACGUAAAUAUCGAAGUACUACUCCCUCACCAAGCAGUACUACUAAUUUUUAUUCUCACAUGCACAGAAAUAUGUAUUUGCAGUUGUGAGGUACUUGUUGUACUUGUACUGAGCCUGACGCGUGUUUUAUGUGUUUGGAAAGCAGCUAGCGUGGCUAUGCUAAGCUAGCUGCUCGUGUGGUGUUUUAUGUGUUUGGAAAGCAGCUAGCGUGGCUAUGCUAAGCUAGCUGCUUGUAUGGUGUUUUAUUAAAACGGUCCAUCGUCUUUAGAAUGAAGCCCCGCUGCUCCUGAAAGACGCACUCUAGCUUUGUGUUAGCACGAGGCUAAGCCUCUGUUAGCCUUAGAGAAGCUAACUUAGCAGGUCUGUGUCUUGACUGACCUCAGGUCUGUUUCACAGACUGUUAUAUUCAAGUUGUUCUGCUAUAACAAACCACCAAUAUCUUUGGUUUUAUAUUAAAUUGAAUUAGAUGUUGAACUGUUACUGCUGUUAAAAAGCACUUUAUUUUAGUGUUUGCAUAAAUAAAAGUGUGCAAUACACUGCUUUUGAAUUCAUUAUUAAAUUAAAAAUUGCUCUCUUAUUUCAUUUGGCAGUAGUUUAUUCUUAGACACUUGUUAUUUAAAUAUACAUUUAAUGAGAAUAACGGCUUUAAUUGUUAAAUAACUUUACCUAAAUAUAACCCUGAUAAUUACAGGUUGUUUGUUGAUAAUAACUAAGUAAUAUAGAGAAGUCAGAGUUUCACCCCUGAACGUGAAAUGAAGAGGAGCAGCUGAUGGGGGAGAGAUGGAGGCAGGGGGAGAGAUGGAGGGGAGAGAUGGAGGCAGGGGGAGAGAUGGAGGGGAGAGAUGGAGGGGGAGAGAUGGAGGCAGGGGAGAGAUGGAGGGGAGAGAUGGAGGCAGGGGGGAGAGAUGGAGGGGGAGAGAUGGAGGCAGGGGGAGAGAUGGAGACACAGAGGGAGAAAGGGAGGAACUACUUUCUGCCUCCGCUGCCAGCUGACUGCAAACUACAAGUUCCCAGCGAGUUGUGGGUGUCCGGGCGCUGCCGUCAGCAAAGUGUCGGUUGAAGUAAACAAAAUGGAGGACUAGCUUAAUGCUAAAGUGGGAGACGUGAAUAAAGAGCUCCAUGGCGACGUUCAAAGAACCGUAAUGCGCCCCCACCCCUCCGCCUCUGUCCAUGGUGCUACCGUUACUACCCUCUGAUCCGCCCGGCACAAUGUCGACUUGUGUCUUCGCUCACAACAAAGAACACGCACACACAUUGCCGCCAUUUUGUUCACGUUGUAGUAAUUUGUGCGGUAAAAGUGAGGAGAAGUUGUUCGAGUUGACGACACAUUCAAUCACCAGCUGCCAUCUCUGCUCGCUCAUCAACUUUCCGAUCACAUCCUCCUCCCCCUCCUCCCGACGCCGGGCUCCCGUUGGUUCCCCGCGCUGCCCCUCAAUCAUCGCAGCUCUUGAUUGGCUCGGCUGGGACCAAUAGCGGCACGCCUGUGGGUAAAGGGGCGGGAGGAGGAGGCGGGGGUCAGAGUGACAGACAGGGCGAAAGAGGCUGGAUAUCUGGGAAGAAAACGGCCACAUUUGGCCUCUUUGUGUUCAGAGACGUUGAACUGAAGCUUCAUUUGUUUGGACAUAUUUAAUCUUCCUCACUUUGUCCACGUCUGUCUCAAUUAGUUGGGAUGUGGAAGCUGCUGCC
ensembl:lncRNA